GAUGAACGCUGGCGGCGUGCCUAAUACAUGCAAGUCGAGCGAACGGACGAGAAGCUUGCUUCUCUGAUGUUAGCGGCGGACGGGUGAGUAACACGUGGAUAACCUCCCUAUCAGACUGGGAUAACUUCGGGAAACCGGAGCUAAUACCGGAUAAUAUUUUGAACCGCAUGGUUCAAAAGUGAAAGACGGUCUUGCUGUCACUUAUAGAUGGAUCCGCGCUGCAUUAGCUAGUUGGUAAGGUAACGGCUUACCAAGGCAACGAUGCAUAGCCGACCUGAGAGGGUGAUCGGCCACACUGGAACUGAGACACGGUCCAGACUCCUACGGGAGGCAGCAGUAGGGAAUCUUCCGCAAUGGGCGAAAGCCUGACGGAGCAACGCCGCGUGAGUGAUGAAGGUCUUCGGAUCGUAAAACUCUGUUAUUAGGGAAGAACAUAUGUGUAAGUAACUGUGCACAUCUUGACGGUACCUAAUCAGAAAGCCACGGCUAACUACGUG
rnacentral:rRNA from 1 species